rnacentral:rRNA from 1 species
CCUACGGGUGGCAGCAGUGAGGAAUAUUGGUCAAUGGACGAGAGUCUGAACCAGCCAAGUAGCGUGAAGGAUGACUGCCCUAUGGGUUGUAAACUUCUUUUAUACAGGAAUAACACGAGUCACGUGUGCCUUUUUGCAUGUACUUUAUGAAUAAGAAUCGGCUAACUCCGUGCCAGCAGCCGCGGUAAUACGGAGGAUACGCGCGUUAUCCGGAUUUAUUGGGUUUAAAGGGAGCGUAGACGGGAUGUUACGGCAGUUGUGAAAGUUUGCGGCUCAACCGUAGACUUGCAAUUGAUACUGGUAGUCUUGAGUACAGGUAAGGUAGGCGGAAUUCGUGGUGUAGCGGUGAAAUGCUUAGAUAUCACGAAGAACCCCGAUUGCGAAGGCAGCUUACUAAACUGUGACUGACAUUGAUGCUCGAAAGUGUGGGUAUCGAACAGGAUUAGAUACCCCUGUAGUC